rnacentral:rRNA from 1 species
AGAGUUUGAUCCUGGCUCAGGACGAACGCUGGCGGCGUGCUUAAUACAUGCAAGUCGUACGAGGAGCGGGGCUCGCCCCGCAUCCGAGUGGCGAACGGGUGAGUAACACGUGACCAACCUGUCUCUGAGGCGAGGGACAACCCGGGGAAACCUGGGCUAAUACCGCAUGAUGUCUCGACCGCCGCAUGGCGACGAGAUCAAAGGGGGCCUCUGCUUGCAAGCUCCCGCCUUGAGAGGGGGUCGCGGCGUAUCAGCUAGUUGGUGGGGUAACGGCUCACCAAGGCUACGACGCGUAGCGGGUCUGAGAGGAUGAUCCGCCACAUUGGGACUGAGAUACGGCCCAGACUCCUACGGGAGGCAGCAGUAGGGAAUAUUGCGCAAUGGGCGAAAGCCUGACGCAGCGACGCCGCGUGUGGGAGGAAGCUCUUCGGGGUGUAAACCACUGUCAAAGGGGAAGAACCUCGCCGACGUGAAUAGCGUCGGCGACUGACGGUACCCUUAGUAGGAAGCGCCGGCUAACUCCGUGCCAGCAGCCGCGGUAACACGGAGGGCGCGAGCGUUGUUCGGAAUUACUGGGCGUAAAGGGCGGUCAGGCGGUGGUGCAAGUUGCUUAUGAAAGAUACCGGCUCAACCGGUAUAGUGUGGGCAAAACUGCGCGACUAGAGAGAGACAGAGGGCAGUAGAAUUCCGGGUGUAGUGGUGAAAUGCGUAGAUAUCCGGAGGAAUACCGGCGGCGAAGGCGGCUGCCUGGGUCUCAGCUGACGCUGACCCGCGAAAGCGUGGGUAGCGAACGGGAUUAGAAACCCCGGUAGUCCACGCUGUAAACGAUGCACAUUAGGCGUUCGGUUGCGCUUCGGCGCAAUUGAGUGUCGCAGCAAACGCGAUAAAUGUGCCGCCUGGGGAGUACGGUCGCAAGGCUAAAACUCAAAGGAAUUGACGGGGGCCCGCACAAGCAGCGGAGCGUGUAGUUUAAUUCGAGGCGACGCGAAGAACCUUACCUGGGCUUGACAUCGUGGUAGUACGGAAGCGAAAGCGGAAGGGCCCUUCGGGGAGCCAUGACAGGUGCUGCAUGGCUGUCGUCAGCUCGUG